rnacentral:rRNA from 1 species
AUUGAACGCUGGCGGCAGGCCUAACACAUGCAAGUCGAGCGGUAGCACAGAGAGCUUGCUCUCGGGUGACGAGCGGCGGACGGGUGAGUAAUGUCUGGGAAACUGCCUGAUGGAGGGGGAUAACUACUGGAAACGGUAGCUAAUACCGCAUAACGUCGCAAGACCAAAGUGGGGGACCUUCGGGCCUCAUGCCAUCAGAUGUGCCCAGAUGGGAUUAGCUGGUAGGUGGGGUAACGGCUCACCUAGGCGACGAUCCCUAGCUGGUCUGAGAGGAUGACCAGCCAAACUGGAACUGAGACACGGUCCAGACUCCUACGGGAGGCAGCAGUGGGGAAUAUUGCACAAUGGGCGCAAGCCUGAUGCAGCCAUGCCGCGUGUGUGAAGAAGGCCUUCGGGUUGUAAAGCACUUUCAGCGGGGAGGAAGGCAUUAAGGUUAAUAACCUUAGUGAUUGACGUUACCCGCAGAAGAAGCACCGGCUAACUCCGUGCCAGCAGCCGCCGUAAAAC